GACGAACGCUGGCGGCGUGCCUAAUACAUGCAAGUAGAACGCUGAAGGAGGAGCUUGCUUCUCUGGAUGAGUUGCGAACGGGUGAGUAACGCGUAGGUAACCUGCCUGGUAGCGGGGGAUAACUAUUGGAAACGAUAGCUAAUACCGCAUAAUAGUAGAUGUUGCAUGACAUUUACUUGAAAGGUGCAAUUGCAUCACUACCAGAUGGACCUGCGUUGUAUUAGCUAGUUGGUGGGGUAACGGCUCACCAAGGCGACGAUACAUAGCCGACCUGAGAGGGUGAUCGGCCACACUGGGACUGAGACACGGCCCAGACUCCUACGGGAGGCAGCAGUAGGGAAUCUUCGGCAAUGGACGGAAGUCUGACCGAGCAACGCCGCGUGAGUGAAGAAGGUUUUCGGAUCGUAAAGCUCUGUUGUAAGAGAAGAACGAGUGUGAGAGUGGAAAGUUCACACUGUGACGGUAUCUACCAGAAAGG
rnacentral:rRNA from 1 species